AUGUGGAGCGCCAGCGCUGGAUCUGGGCGAGGGAGGCAUGGAUGUGGAGCGGCACCCGAGCGGUGGAUCGGGAGCAGCGCCGGAGCAGUGGAGCGGCGGAUCUGGAGCAGAGUCUUCGUCCUCACGGUGCACACGUCGUCGUCUUCGUCAGACGUCCCCACCUCGCUGACGCAUUCGAUCCGCGCAUGCUGUGUUCUCUCGGAUGAUCGACGGGUGCAUGUCAUAGAGAGAGACCUGACAGAGCCUGAUAGAAUUGUGGGUGAAUUGUUACAACCUGGAGGUUACUUGAAAUUGAUAGAAUUGGGUCUGCAGGAAUGUUGCGUGGGAGGCCGAGGCGGGCAGGCGCUGCUGGUGGCGGGACGAGCAACUGGAGCAGGAGGUCAUCGCCAAGCUCGGCUGGGGCCGCCUUGGCGACGCCUAUGCCAGGACCUUCUACCUCGGGAAAAGAAGCAAUUAUCCAUCCUGUGA
rnacentral:rRNA from 1 species